GGAAUCUUCCACAAUGGGCGAAAGCCUGAUGGAGCAACGCCGCGUGUGAUGAAGGCUUUCGGGUCGUAAAGCACUGUUGUAUGGGAAGAACAGCUAGAAUAGGAAAUGAUUUUAGUUUGACGGUACCAUACCAGAAAGGGACGGCUAAAUACGUGUCAG
rnacentral:rRNA from 1 species